rnacentral:rRNA from 1 species
GCCUUAGUAACGGCGAGUGAAGCGGCAACAGCUCAAAUUUGAAAUCUGGCCCUCGGGUCCGAAUUGUAAUUUGUAGAGGAUGAUUUUGGUGCGGUAUCUUCCGAGUUCCUUGGAACAGGACGCCUUAGAGGGUGAGAGCCCCGUACGGUUGAAUGCCUAGCCUCUGUAAAUCUCCUUCGACGAGUCGAGUAGUUUGGGAAUGCUGCUCUAAAUGGGAGGUAAAUUUCUUCUAAAGCUAAAUAUUGGCCAGAGACCGAUAGCGCACAAGUAGAGUGAUCGAAAGAUGAAAAGCACUUUGAAAAGAGGGUUAAAUAGCACGUGAAAUUGUUGAAAGGGAAGGAUUUGUGACCAGACUUUUUCUGGGCGGAUCAUCCGGGGUUCUCUCCGGUGCACUUUGCCCAGUAAAGGCCAGCAUCGAUUUUCGGCGGCGGAUAAAAGCAGUGGGAAUGUGGCUCCCUACGGGGAGUGUUAUAGCCCAUUGUAUAAUACGCUGCUGGGGAUCGAGGUACGCGCUUCUGCAAGGAUGCUGGCGUAAUGGUUAUCAAUCACCCGUCUUGAAACACGGACCAAGGAGUCGAACAUUUAUGCGAGUGUUUGGGUGUUAAACCCUCACGCGUAAUGAAAGUGAACGGAGGUGAGAGCCCGUACGGGUGCAUCAUCGACCGAUCCUGAAGUUUUCGGAUGGAUUUGAGUAAGAGCAUAACUGUUCGGACCCGAAAGAUGGUGAACUAUGCGUGGAUAGGGUGAAGCCAGAGGAAACUCUGGUGGAGGCUCGCAGCGGUUCUGACGUGCAAAUCGAUCGUCAAAUCUGCGCAUGGGGGCGAAAGACUAAUCGAACCAUCUAGUAGCUGGU